UAUAGAGGUCUCAAGCGUUGUUCGGAUUCAUUGGGCGUAAAGGGUGCGUAGGCGGCGCGGUAAGUCGGGUGUGAAAUCUCGGAGCUUAACUCCGAAACUGCAUUCGAUACUGCCGUGCUUGAGGACUGGAGAGGAGACUGGAAUUUACGGUGUAGCGGUGAAAUGCGUAGAUAUCGUAAGGAAGACCAGUGGCGAAGGCGGGUCUCUGGACAGUUCCUGACGCUGAGGCACGAAGGUCAGGGGAGCAAACAGG
rnacentral:rRNA from 1 species